GGGGAUUUAGCUCAGUGGUAGAGCGCUUGCCUAAAAAGCGCAAGGCCCUGGGUUCGGUCCCCAGCUCCG
rfam:Rattus norvegicus chromosome 5, whole genome shotgun sequence.